UUGAACGCUGGCGGCAUGCUUUACACAUGCAGGUCGCACGGCAGCGCGGGCUUCGGCCUGGCGGCGAGUGGCGAACGGGUGAGUAAUACAUCGGAACGUGCCCAGUAGUGGGGGAUAGCUCGGCGAAAGCCGGAUUAAUACCGCAUACGACCUGAGGGUGAAAGCGGGGGAUCUUCGGACCUCGCGCUAUUGGAGCGGCCGAUGGCAGAUUAGCUAGUUGGUGGGGUAAAGGCCUACCAAGGCGACGAUCUGUAGCUGGUCUGAGAGGACGACCAGCCACACUGGGACUGAGACACGGCCCAGACUCCUACGGGAGGCAGCAGUGGGGAAUUUUGGACAAUGGGCGAAAGCCUGAUCCAGCAAUGCCGCGUGUGUGAUGAAGGCCUUCGGGUUGUAAAGCACUUUUGGCGGGAACGAAAAGGACUGUGCCAAUACCACGGUUCGAUGACGGUACCCGCAGAAUAAGCACCGGCUAACUACGUG
rnacentral:rRNA from 1 species